rnacentral:rRNA from 1 species
CCUACGGGUGGCAGCAGUGGGGAAUAUUGCACAAUGGGCGAAAGCCUGACGCAGCGACGCCGCGUGAGGGAUGAAGGUCUUCGGAUCGUAAACCUCUUUCAGCAGCGAAGAACGGACACUGUUCUAAUCAGCAGUGAAUUGACGGUACCUGCAAAGGAAGCACCGGCUAACUCCGUGCCAGCAGCCGCGGUAAUACGGGGGGUGCGAGUGUUAAUCGGAAUUACUGGGCGUAAAGCGCACGUAGGCGGUAUGUUAAGUCACGGGUGAAAGCCCCGCGCUCAACGUGGGAAUUGCCUUUGAUACUGGGUAACUGGAGUGCGUGAGAGGAGAGUGGAAUUCCAGGUGUAGGAGUGAAAUGCGUAGAUAUGUGGAGGAACAUCAGUGGCGAAGGCGACUAUCUGGCAAAUAACUGACGCUGAGGAGCGAAAGCGUGGGUAGCAAACAGGAUUAGAUACCCCUGUAGUC